rnacentral:pre_miRNA from 1 species
CAGAUGAUAUAGAUGAGGCGGAGUUUGACACGAGCAUGUAUCAUUUCAGCGAGCAUAUACCUCCAUCGAGGGAAAGCAAGAGCUUGAGUGAAGCUCAUAGGAACAAUAGUAAACUGCAGAAGUGGUGCAAAAAGCAGGACAAGCUGCUCGCCAAGUGUUUCAAGACUAUCAAGUUUCUGACAGAUAAGCUGAGUUGUUCCUCCUCCACUACAGCUAUUCCG